rnacentral:rRNA from 1 species
AGGACGAACGCUGGCGGCGUGCUUAACACAUGCAAGUGGAGCGACGAACCAGGGCUUGCCCUGGGGCAGAGCCGCGAACGGGUGAGUAACACGUGGGUUACCUGCCUCGAUGACCGGGACAACCCGAGGAAACUCGGGCUAAUACCGGAUGUGCCCGCAAGGGGAAAGGAAGCUUCGGCCUCCGCAUCGAGAUGGGCCCGCGGCCCAUUAGCUUGUUGGUGAGGUAACGGCUCACCAAGGCUUCGAUGGGUAGCUGGUCUGAGAGGACGAUCAGCCACACUGGGACUGAGACACGGCCCAGACUCCUACGGGAGGCAGCAGUGGGGAAUCUUGCGCAAUGCGCGAAAGCGUGACGCAGCAACGCCGCGUGGGGGAAGAAGGCUUUCGGGUUGUAAACCCCUUUCAGCAGGGACGAAGCGAAAGUGACGGUACCUGCAGAAGAAGCGCCGGCUAACUACGUGCCAGCAGCCGC